UGGGUGUAGAGCACCCACUAAUUUUUCCCCGUGGGUGCUCUAGCCCAGGAGCACCCACGGAGUCAGUGCCUAUGCCCUGGGGUUCAGGUAUGUAGGACACUCUAUUCACCUUAGCCAGGCCUCACCAUCUACAUUGCUAUUUAUACCCAUGCUAGAUUGGCAGGCAGUGACUGUACUCUACACUCUGCCGCAAACGUAGACCUACCCUAAAAGUCCCAGUGAAGAAGAGAAACUAUUAUUCUUUAUCAGUUCUCCCCACUCCCAUAGUCUGAUCUUUUGUCUCAGUGUCAGAUCCAAUUCCCGUAGUAGUCUAUUGGAGUUUUUUACUGAUUUUAGUGAAGCAGUGUUUUGGGCCUUAAUAGACAUUUCCGUGGUACUCUGCAGCAGAAAGACUUUGUAUCUACAAUCUGCCAGCAGAUGGCAAUAGCGUAGGAGUUUGAAAAUAUCUCCGUUAAGAAGAGCACCUUUGCCACCAAUUGUUUGUGUUCUUGGUGUGCAGAAUCCUGCUCUUAAAUCUGACAAAGAAUUGUGAACGCAAUAUUUUUCCUGUAAGAAAGUUUAUCAUCUCAUUAGGAACUUUCUGAUCUAUUAGUAAAUUUUGGAAGUGUUUUGUUAGCACUGACUUUUCCCAAGUAUGUGAAAAUGCUGUUAACUCUGCUAUUAUGUUAGUGAGAAUAGUUACUAAUAAAAUUACAGAUUGCUUACACAGCACAAUGUUGUUGUUUACAUAGCAUUUUCCUAGGGCCUCAAAAGGCACUCAUCUAUCAUCUAUUAUUGUUUACUGAAGUCCUUUACUAAAUAGGCAGGAAGGUCUCUUCAAGAUUCUUCCGGUUACAGAUUAUAAUCUCUGGAAAAAAAAGCAAUGACAAUAUGUCUGGUGAUAGCAAGUGGGCUUCCACCAUAGCUGAGCUCUCAUUAAAACUCUCGUCUCCUGACUUCUGUUUUUUUUCUUUUCAUUUCUAACAAUACAGUGUUUAGCACUUAUAUGGACCUCCCCUGCUCUACAUCUCAAAGUGUUUUUCAAGGAUAGGUUAGCAUCAUCUCUAUUUUCACGGAUUGGGAUACUGAGACAAAGAUAUUUAAUGACCUGUCUGAUUUCACAAAAAGAAAAGGAGUACUUGUGGACCCUUAGAGACUAACAAAUUUAUUUGAGCAUAAGCUUUCGUGAGCUACAGCUCACUUCAUCGGAUGCAUUUGGUGGAAAAUACAGAGGGGAGAUUGAUAUAGGAAGUCAGUGGCAGAAUCAGGGUUAGAAGCCAGGUGUCCUGAUUCUCAGUCUGGUGUACUGAUCAUUGGAUCAUGAAGCCUCCUAUUUACACUUCAUCCCUCCUGGCACCCUAAGAAAGAACUUCCUUCCUACUUCCUAAUCUAUGGAAUAACCAGACUCAUAUUUCUAGGGGUGGGAUUUUUAAAAAUGCCCAGUUAGGUGCCUAGCUCCCAUGUGUAUGUAAGGCAGUUCUUUAUAUCUUACAUUAAUGAUGGCAUGUGGAUUCACAUAUCCCCCCAGGUUUCUGCCUUCCAUUUAGCAUGGAGGUUUUCAAACUGUCGCCUCCUGCUAGGAGCCAGUUGAGUGGAAGCUGGUGGGAGCCACCUGGCCCACUUGGGCCCCUAGUUCUCCGUGCUAUGGGAGCCGGGGCAUCUCUGCACACCUGGGCGCUCCCCAGGCAGGGCAGGCAGCACAGCUGUGAGCUGCGCCCCGAGGUGCUCUUGACUCUCUCCUAAAGGAGCCCAGUAUCAGCUGGCAACACUUCCUGGAGCUGGCCCCGACCAUGGAGGUGGAGCCCAGCUGCCAUGAGAUGCUCCCGAAGGGCUCACUCACUGCUACCCUGGUGCUCCUGGCUCAGCUGCUGCUCCUCCAGAAGCAUGUGUGGGGUGGUCAUAUGCCCCGUCUCUUCCCAAAACCCUUAAAUUGGGCCCCCCUCUCCCACUAUCCAGAGUUACGUGUCCUUUCUGAACCAAAGGAUACAGCUUCCUUAUUGCAUUAUAUUAAAACAGCUUAGAUGACACCUUGUCGACCAGCUUAGCAGUAGCACAAUGUGCUACCAUGUGGGGAUCAGAGUUUGAGAGCCUAACCCUUUUGUUCCUAAGAUCUGCCUGGGGGCUUGCAAAUGUGUUGUAGAGACAGCUUGCUCCAGGUGGUUUAGGGUCACUGUGGGUUACCUGGUUGAUUUAGGAAUGGCAUCCACCUGCUGCUGCACUAUACAGUUUUAUGGUGGGAGGAGGGAAGAAAUAAGAAAGGAAAAGGGGUGAUAAGAGGAUCUUUGUGGUUCCAAGAUGGACUCAAAACCACACCAUGGCCUGGGAGGAAUAGCAAAACAAACAGCAACCUCAGCUAAAUACUCUGAGGCAUUUCCCCUCAGAAGUUGCUUCAAAGACAAUCAUCCGGUUCAUGGACUUUCAAGAGGAAAAAGCCCAUUUUUCUUUCAAAUAUUAUUGGUGUUUGUGUUCUGGCAGUACCCAUAAUGCUCUAGGGGCUUUCCCCUGACACAUGAAGACAAAGUCCCUGCCUCUAAGAGCUCACAGUCUUCGAAAAUAAGCAACAUGCAAAGGGUGGGGCAGAGAAAUCAAAUAUAUAAUCAAAAUAUAACCAACAUGUAAUAACCAUCAGCUAUCCUGAAAUGGCCCCAGCCAAUGUUCGUUAGCCAACUGCUUGGAGGUAUCUUGGCAAGAUGAGCUUGAAAAGGGAUUUGAAGGAGGAAGAAUAGUAGCCUCAUUGAACAAUUUUGGAGAGGGGGGUGUUGCAAGUAAGGGGCAUCAUAGAAGAAGGUGGGAAGACAGUUGAGAGAAGUGGACAAAGGUGGAGUCAGUACCGCCCAACCCCAAAUAUUCAAACAUCAUGAGAGAGGCUUGAAAAUAAUGAGAUUAUGUUCAAACAAUAAAUGUUUUUUUUAUUUGCCUUCUGCUUUUUGAGCCUUUAGGUGCACUGGGGUCACAUUUGGAAGCUUUCUCCACAGCCAUGAGGGCUAGGAACUUAUUUUUUCUUUAAGAAUGAAGGCUGAAAUCAUCACAUAUCACUUGACUCCAGGAGCUGGGGCUUUAAGGAAAUCAACUAUUAUCAUGAGACUUAUGACAAAAUCGUUGGAGUUGGCAACACUAUGGGAGCAGCGGGUGCAUUGGCAACCCUCCCGCUUUCGCUGGGAGGCUCCUGGAAUCAUGCUCUAUCUCCCAGAGGCUACUUCAGCCAACCCAGGAGAUUUUGGGUGCUAACAGUUCGGCGCGGCAGCGGAGCUAAGACAGGCUCCCUUACCUUCCUUGGCUCUGUGCCACUCCCAGAAGCAUCCAGCACCAUUCCUGCAGCCCUGAUGGGGAGGCGAUCUCUGCGUGCUGCCCCUGCCCCGAGCGCUGACUCCGCAGUUCUCAUUGGCCGGAUACCCCCGGCCCUCCUGUCCUAGGAGCCACUGCCAGAGAGAUGUGCCGGUCGCUUUUGGGAGCCACCCAAGGUCUGUUGCCCAUACCCAUUGUACAGUUGCAGUGCUGAAUGCUGAUGAGACCAGGCUUACUGCAACUGGCAAUUGUAACAUAUAAGAGUUGUUGGAGAGCAGCAGCAGCAGGAAAAGGGUGGAGAAGCUGCUGUGAGAUUUGUGCUACUGUCUGUGAAAUAUCCCCAGGCUGAAAUAUCAGACAAUUUCAGAUAAAGUGCACUGUGACGGGGUGUACCAACCCUGCACGGGGCCAAUGGGGCGUGACCAAUCACUGUGGGCCCAGGAAACCACACCCCCUCAUCCCUGCUGGGCAUACUUAGUGUGGAAGGGACAGAUAAAAGGAGGCAGUCCAGCUCAGUCUGGGUUGGCUGAGGAGGAGGAAGGACAUGUGCUGCAGUCUCCUGCAGAGGUCCCUGUGACUCUCCAAGCGGUGGGAAACAUGGACCUGGACUACACUGCAGACGACCAGCUGACCAAGGAGACUGACUGGGACGCUGAGCUGCUGCCAGCCGAAGAGAUGCCUGAGAUGAGUUGCGGUAGGAAGUGACCCAGGGAACACUUAGAAGCUGAUGCUUGAACUCUUUACUGGGAAUUUCCAGGCUUCAUAGGACCCUGGGUCGGAACCCAGAGGAGUAAGGUGGGCUCAGGUACUCCUACCCCCACCCCCUACAGCAUUUGCCACUAGGUGUGGCUAUUGGGGGCUAUAGCUAUAGACUGAUUGUUUGCCCUGCCCUGCCCACGGGCUACAAACUGACUGCUUGUCCUGUCCUGCCCAGAGGGUCAUAACCCCCUAACUGCUAUCGUUUGCCCUAGCCAGGAGAUUUAGGAGAUUAGAGACUGAGCAUUGGCUCUGCCCCACCUAUGGACUGCAGACUAUUUGCUGUUUUUACCUGGCCCAGAAUGUCAAAGCCCAGCUGCGAUUGCUUGCCCCAGCCAGGAAGCUCAAGAGGCAUAGAUGGAGAGUUUAUUGGGCCCUACCAUAAACCCUGAGUUCCUCUAAUUGAAAUUGCCUGAUCUAACAGGGAGUCCCGACGGCAUGUGUCAACCCCCUCAAUGAGCCAAAGGGGGUGGGCCCGCUCAACAUGCAGGGCCCCCCCAUGACACACCCAUUGUCAGAAAGUAUGGCUUGUCAUUAGAGACCGUUGAACUUGCACCAUCCUCAAGGUAAAUGGGGAAAUUGGCCCCCACAGAGAGAUCCCAAAUAACAAUGUCUAUGCUACAGUCAGAUUGCAGAGCCGGCUAACAAUCUGAUUGACCCCUCCCUUGGUUUCCAAAUUGUAAUGGAGACGAGGCCUUAAUGAAACCAACAGGUUCCAAAACACAGUUAAAGCUCAGUCAAUGCUAUAAAUUGGAACCAUGUUUACAGAUCAGUGAGGGAGAGCAAGAUUGCCUGAAAAGACUGUAGCUGUGAAGUGGGCAUGGCUGUAACUUCUGUAUGAAGGGUAUAAACAGUGCGAGGGACAUAGCUGUGCCCUCUACCCUAGAAUAUAUUUUUGAUUCCUGGAUAUUGGUUACAGAAAUGAGCCAUUUAAAAAAAAAUCCACUUGCUUAUUAUUUGGAUGGUUAAGGGAUAAAGGUUAGCCAAAGCGAUAUUUCUCAGGCCACCCAGGGCUGUGAAUCACUUUGUUGCCACCUUCAUCCAGUGUGAGGGAGUCUUGCUUGUGCCAGCUGGGCAUUAGCUUUAACGCACCCAGCCCAUCAGACACUCCCGCACUCUCCUCUGGGCUACACCAGCCUUGCAGGUUGACAACAGCUGCACCUCAGCCCCCAAGUCCCUUCACAGUCUCUUCAUAGUGUCCCUCUGUGGUAUCCAGUCCCUGAUCACUGGGUAUCCACAGAAAUCCCGAAUCCUCUGUUCCCAGGUGUAUGUCUAGACUGCAAGAAAAACCCAUGGCCCAGAACCUGGGUCAGUUGACUAGGGCUUGGGCUGCGAGGCUAAUAAUAACUAAUAAUAGCAGUGUUGAAUGUUCCAACUUAGUCUGGAGUGUGGGCUCUGAAACUCAGUGAAGGAGGUGGUCUCGGAGCCAAGGCUCUAGCCUGUGUGAGACCAUCUACGCUGCUAUUUUUGCCCCUGCAAGCCCAAGACAAUUGAUCCAGAUCUGAGACUCAGUGCCAUGGAUUCUUCUUUGCAGUGUAGACAUUCCUAAUGGAACAGUGUACCUGAGUUCACCAGUUUUACCUUAGCUCACCAUUCCUCUGUCACACACACACCACUUGAAUUUGAUUAUAGUAAAACAAAAGGAAAUUUAUUUAAGAGAGACUAGAGAUUCAAAUAGAAACAAGACUGAGUCAUGGAAACAAAUGCUUAUAUUCAACACAAAAUCAGAAAACUGGGGCAUACACUUAUUAAUAAUUAUCUUUCCUAUCUAAUUAAAUAGAUUCUCACUCCAAGGAGCCAGUAGCUAGUCUUUCAUGAAGCACUGCCAUUCAUUAAGGUACCUCUUCAGUGAAUAGAUGCAGAGCAUCUUUCUCCACCCUGUGCUAUACUGAAUCAGUCUUUUGUCUUUAUUCACAUAUACGGCAGUCCCCUCGCUGUCUUAUCAUUCCUCUUCACUUCCAGGUAAUUUCAAUGUUUAUACUUUGAUGGUUUUCCAUUGGCUUUUCUGGUUUGGUGCAAUGGUGCACAAUUGAGCAAUGCAGUACAUAAUUGGCUAACUAAGGAGGAGUGACACCCCCCUCCCACUUGAAUGGCCCAUCACUGAGCCAUGAUUCCCUGAUGACUCAUAGUUUCACUCCAAGACCAGAAGUACAUAAUUUUCAAAGUAGUUAUAUUAGUCCUUAAAUAUUACCCAUACGCACAUCUCAGAAUGAUUGAGUAUCGAUAAGUUACAAGAUUUCAGUAGAGACCUUGCAUGUUAACCUUUAGCGAUAAAUACCAUGAAAACGGUGUACUAGGUAUAGUGAGUUUGUCAGGUCUGAGACAGGAGUUGCUUGUAAUUAACAGUGAACUGUUUUCUAGUUGGGACCAAUGGGCUUCUGGGUCACAUCUUGUGCACUUUGCCAUCCUGGCCUGAUGCAGCUGUGUGACAGCCUCUAUACUGAUGGAGCUGGUGAAGAAUCUAAGUACUGAAAUGCCAAGAUGCUUUGGGACCAGAGAUUGAACU